UACGUAGGCAGCAAGCGUUGUUCGGAAUUACUGGGCGUAAAGAGUGUGUAGGCGGUGCUCCAAGUCUGGUGUGAAAUCUCCCGGCUCAACUGGGAGAGUGCGCUAGAAACUGGAAUGCUAGAGGAUGGGAGAGGUAAGCGGAAUUCCUGGUGUAGCGGUGAAAUGCGUAGAUAUCAGGAGGAACACCUGUGGUGUAGACAGCUUGCUGGACCAUUUCUGACGCUGAGACACGAAAGCGUGGGUAGCAAACAGG
rnacentral:rRNA from 1 species